GGUUAGGUGAGGGGAAAUAAUCCCGUCUCCCCUAUAGUGACCCUACUUGGGUCUGCGGGGAGCGGGGAAUGCACGGGCCUUCGCCCACCGGACACGCUCCCCCGGCCCCCAUGGAUCACUAAUUUGUGUUUAAGGUUUGUAUUUAAUUUGGUUUUAGUGUGUUGUGUAACAUGAUUGUUGUUUAAUUAAUCUCUUUUUUUAGGUUAUUGAUUGUUUUUGUACACACAAACACACAAACAAACAGACAAACAGGUACAUGAACACACAUGAACUAUGUACAAUUGGUGUGCAUCGCGACGACGUUUCGACCUUAUUUGGUCUUCAUCAGGUCUAUGCACACAUGUCCUGUUUUCCCUUUUAUACCCUUUGGACAAGAAAUUAACUGAAUUUCUCUCGGAUAUUUAGUUUAAAUUCAACUCUAUUUAGUUUGUAAAAUGUUAACCCUUUAAUCGCUGUUUGGUUUUUAAUUCUGAAUAAUAUAUUUAUAUUUCUCCUGUGGUUAGGCUUAAACUGACCAGUAGGGUUAGGGUUAGGGUCAGUAUUAGGGUUAGGGUUCAAAUCCGAGGCUAGGGCUAGGGUUAGGCUUAGGGUUAGGGCCACGGUUGGGGCUAGAUCAAGCGCUAGGGUUAGGGUUUAGGGCUAGCGCGACGGUUAGGGUUAGGGUCAGGGCCACGGUUUGGGCUACAUCAAGCGCUAGGGUUAGGGUUAGGGCCCUCAUAAUGGUUAGGGUUAGGGCCAGGGCCACGGUUGGGGCUAGAAAUGAAUCCCGUCUCUCCUAUAGUGACCCUACUUGGGUCUGCGGGGAGCGGGAAUUGCUAAAGCGCCAGGAUCAGGGUUAGGAUUAGUAGCACUUUAUUUAGGCUUUGCAGGUUGGGGACCGAGGAAACGCACCAGCGAUGGAUGAGGCACUGGCUGGUAAGGUGAGGGGAAAUAAUCCCGUCUCCCCUAUAGUGACCCUACUUGGGUCUGCGGGGAGCGGGGAAUGCACGGGCCUUUGCCCACCGGACACGCUCCCCCGGCCCCCAUGGAUCACUAAUUUGUGUUUAAGGUUUGUAUUUAAUUUGGUUUUAGUGUGUUGUGUAACAUGAUUGUUGUUUAAUUAAUCUCUUUUUUUAGGUUAUUGAUUGGGUUAGGGUUAGGGGGUUAGGGUUAGGGUUAGGGGUUAGGGUUUAGGGUUAGGGUUAGGGUUUAGGGUUAGGGUUAGGGGUUAGGGUUAGGGUUAGGGUGAGGGGACUCUGUCCCGUCUCCCAUAAGGAGCGGGGAAUGCGCUGGCCUUCCCCCAUCCGUACCCGUCCCUACGGUCCCAAGACUGCUGGCGGAAACGUCGAGCCCUCUGGCCGUAUCUGACUUCCGUCCAGCCUUGAUUGUAGCCACUCAUGUUGGAGUGGCUAUUGAAAUGUUUUUAUUUAUUUAAAAUAUUGGUUUGUUUAAAGAAAUAAAAGACUGAUUUUUACCUAUAAAAGGAAACCUAUCUGUAUUAACAAAGGAAACUUAACUUCAAAUUUAAACUUUUCUUAAAAUAAAAUGCUGAUUGUUUUAAUAAAAAGUAAAAUAAAAUGUAUUUCCAACUUUUUAAAAAUGUUUUAAAAUAUUUUUUGAUGUUUUUUAAGUUUUUAUCAAGUUUUUAAAUUUUUUUAGAUUUUUUUAGUUAUUUUUUUAACUUUUUUACAAAAUAAACUAUGUACAAUGAAAUAUGUGUGCCCACGACAACGUUUCGACCUCCUGUGGGUCUUCCUCAGGUCUCUUGGCACACAACAAAGAAAGAAACAAAAAAAACUGUGACUUGAAUGGUCAAACAAAAGCUGCUGGCUGGUAAUGCUUAAGAUGUUGUCUCAUCAAGAGUCUGCAUGGUUUGGGUGAGGGGAUUGCCCCCUGCAGCCCACAAGGGGCCAAAAAUGCACGGGCCUUCUUCCUCAACGGAACGCCUCCCCAGUCCCGAAAAGGCUGGUGGAGACGCUGGCCUUUCGUGUCAUGCCGUACUUCCGUCCAGCCGUGUUCAUAGCCACUCAUGCUGGAGUGGCUUCAAGAGGUAAGUUUUAAGAUGAUUAGUGUUUUUUACUGUUUUUAAAUGUUUUUUUAAAAUGUUUUUAAACUUCUUUAGUGUUUUUAAAUGUUUUUUAAUUUUUUUAUUGUUUUUUUUAAGGUUUUUUACACACACAAUAAGAUACUAUACAUGAACUUUGAAUGAACUAUGUACAAAAAACAAUGUGUGCCCAAUUAAACGACGUUUCGACCUUAAUUAGGUCUUCUUCAGGUAAAGGCACACAAUGAAAUAAAUGAAAGAGCUGCUGGUCAAUGAUUUUUUGGUUGUUCACCAGGCAAGCGUCUGAGCGAGAGUGAAUUGUCCCUGCCCACUUCUCUAUAUUUAUGCUCUCAGGUAAGAAAUAAAAGGAAAUACUUGUGAAUAAAGAAAAAUUGCUGGCUGCUAAAUAACUGUUGUUCACCAAGCAACUGUCUGAAAAAGAAUGAAUAUUCCCCGCCCACUUGUCUGUUUUAUAGUCCCUGUCAAAUAAUUAAAUGAAUUUCUUGUAUUUUCCAUAUUAAUUAUGUACUGUUUUUAGUUUAAACUUUUAACCCUUAGACCACUAUUUAUUCUUUUAACCUUUUAACAUGAAAUAUAUAGAGAGAACCGAAAUGUAUUUAUUUAUUUAUUUAUUUAUUAUCGAAGUAAUAUGUUUAUUCUUAGCCUAGGGUUAGGGUUAGGGUUACCACUAGGGUUAGGGUUAGUGCCAGAUUAGGGUUAGGGUUAGGGUUAGUGCCAGAUUAGGGUUAGUGGUUAGGGUUAGGGUUAGGGCCAGAUUAGGGUUAGUGGUUAGGGUUAGGGUUAGGGCCAGAUUAGGGUUAGUGGUUAGGGUUAGGGCCAAAUUAGGGCCAGUGGUUAGGGUUAGUGGUUAGUGUUAGGGUUAGGGGUUAGGGGUUAGGGUUAGGGUUAGGGUUAGGGGUUAGGGUUAGGGUUAGGUUUGGGUGAGGGGAUUGCCCCCUGCAGCCCACAAGGGGCCAAAAAUGCACGGGCCUUCUUCCUCAACGGAACGCCUCCCCAGUCCCGAAAAGGCUAGGGUUAGGGUUAGGGUUAGGGUUAGGUUUGGGGAAUGAAUCCUGUCUUCCAUAGGGGGCGGGAAAUGCACGGGCCUUCCCUCGACUGGACACGUUCCCCCGGUCCCGGAAUGGCUGGCGGAAGCGCUGGCCUUUACGGCCAAAGCGGACCUCCGUCCAGCCGUCAAAGCCACUCCUGCGUGGAGUGGCCAUCAUACUUUGUUUUAAGAUUUUUAUAUGUUUAAAUUAAAAUUGUGAUUUUAUCCCACAGAAAUAAAUGAAAUAAAACUCUUUCUUAAACAAAAUUGUGAUUUCCUUAUUGUUUUUUAUAAAGAUUUUACUUAAAUGAGAUUAUGAUUGUUUUUAUAGAGAUGCUGUUUGUAAUACAAAAUAAAAUAACUGUUUUUAAACCCUUUCUUAAAAUAAAAUGUUGAUUUUGUUCUUAUUUGAACUUCUUAAUUAACUAAAACUGUGAUUAAAUACCCUCAAAAUAAACUGUUUGUAACUGUGUUUACAUUUUUUUGUAUUUUUUUUAUUUUUUUGUAUUUUUUUGUUUUUUAAUUUUUUUAGAAUGUUUUUAUUUGUUUUUCACAAUGAUAACUAUUCUUAGCAUUCCUAUUGUGUGCCUAUGAUGCUACGUUUCGACCUGUAUCGGUCUUCCUCAGGCCAAGGCACACACAAUAAAGCAAACAGUGGUAGAAAGUAGGUCUUUACUUAGUGGCUGUCAGAGUGAAAAUGAAUUUUCCUCCUCUGCUCUGCCUUUUAUACUUGCCAAAAGAAAAUUACCAUGAAUUUACUUAUUUUUUAACUAAAUUAUAAACCCUUUUUCUAUUUACUCUUUUAACCCUUUAGCACCCUUGUAGAUAAUUUACCAUGUAAUAUAUGCUCUUAUUUAUAUAAGUAUUUAUUUAUUUAUUUAUUUAUUUAUUAACCCCCUAUGGUUAGGGUUAGGGUUUGACCUAGGGUUAGGGUUAGGGUUAGGGUUAGGGUUAGGGUUAGAGCCCAAGCUAGGGUUAGGGUUAGGGCUAGGGUUAGGGUUAGGGUUAGGGCUAGGGUUAGGGUUAGAGCCCAGGUUAGGGCUAGGGCUAGGGUUAGGGCAAGAGCCCAAGCUAGGGUUAGGGUUAGGGUUAGGGGGGGUUAGGGUUAGGGUUAGGUGAGGGGAAAUAAUCCCGUCUCCCCUAUAGUGACCCUACUUGGGUCUGCGGGGAGCGGGGAAUGCACGGGCCUUCGCCCACUGGACACGCUCCCCCGGCCCCCAUGGAUCACUAAUUUGUGUUUAAGGUUUGUAUUUGAUUUAGUUUUGGUGUGUUGUGUAACAUGAUUGUUGUUUAAUUAAUCUCUUUUUUAGGUUAUUAAUUGUUUUUAUACACACAAACACACAAACAAACAAACAAACAGGUACAUGAUCAACACAUGAACUAUGUACAGUUGGUGUGCAUUGCGACAACGUUUGGACCUAGUUUGGUCCUCUUCAGGUCUAUGCACACAUAAAUUUCAUAGCUGCUGGGCCCCAAUUCAUAGGGGUUUACCCAGUCAGCAUCCAAAUGAAAAUGAAUAUUCCCUGUCCUGUUUUCCCUUUUAUACCCUUUGGUGAAGAAAAUAACUGAUUUUCUCUCGGAUAUUUAGUUUUAUUUAACUUAAUUUAAGGCUGUAUUUAGUUUGUAAUAUUAACCCUUUAUUCCCCUGCUAGGGUUAGGGUUAGGGUUAGGGUUAGAAUCCGAGGCUAGGGCUAGGGUUAGGGUUAGGGUUAAGGCCACGGUUGGGGCUAGAUGGCGUUAGGGUUAGGGCCCUCAUAAUGGUUAGGGUUAGGGCCAGGGCCACAGUUGGGGCUAGAUAAAGCACUAGGGUUAGGGUUAGGGCCCUCAUAAUGGUUAGGGUUAGGGCCAGGGCCACGGUUGGGGCUAGAAAUGAAUCCCGUCUCUCCUAUAGUGACCCUACUUGGGUCUGCGGGGAGCGGGAAAUGCUAAAGCGCCAGGAUCAGGGUUAGGAUUAGUACUCUUUAUUUAGGCUUUGCAGGUUGGGGACCGAGGAAACGCACCCGCGAUGGACGAGGCACUGGCUGGUAAGGUGAGGGGAAAUAAUCCCGUCUCCCCUAUAGUGACCCUACUUGGGUCUGCGGGGAGCGGGGAAUGCACGGGCCUUCGCCCACUGGACACGCUCCCCCGGCCCCCAUGGAUCACUAAUUUGUGUUUAAGGUUUGUAUUUGAUUUAGUUUUGGUGUGUUGUGUAACAUGAUUGUUGUUUAAUUAAUCUCUUUUUUAGGUUAUUAAUUGUUUUUAUACACACAAACACACAAACAAACAAACAAACAGGUACAUGAUCAACACAUGAACUAUGUACAGUUGGUGUGCAUCGCGACAACGUUUCGACCUAGUUUGGUCUUCUUCAGGUCUAUGCACACAUAAAUUUCAUAGCUGCUGGGCCCCAAUUCAUAGGGGUUUACCCAGUCAGCAUCCAAAUGAAAAUGAAUAUUCCCUGUCCUGUUUUCCCUUUUAUACCCUUUGGUGAAGAAAAUAACUGAUUUUCUCUCGGAUAUUUAGUUUUAUUUAACUUAAUUUAAGGCUGUAUUUAGUUUGUAAUAUUAACCCUUUAUUCCCCUGCUAGGGUUAGGGUUAGGGUUAGGGUUAGAAUCCGAGGCUAGGGCUAGGGUUAGGGUUAGGGUUAAGGCCACGGUUGGGGCUAGAUGGCGCUAGGGUUAGGGUUAGGGCCCUCAUAAUGGUUAGGGUUAGGGCCAGGGCCACAGUUGGGGCUAGAUUAAGCACUAGGGUUAGGGUUAGAACUUCCUGUUCUUUAAAAUCUUGAACAUACUGAAUAAACUGAAACACCAAAGACAUGCAGCUCAACCAAACCGGUUUAAUUUUGUGGCGUGAAAGCAUCACACUGUCUGUGUUCGUCUUUUCUUGCAGCUUUAUUUUUCUGUUUUUUUUCUCUGGAGUUUGGUGCGUUAAGCUCUCAGCUCCACAGUGUGUGACUGUGUAUCAGACCAAAAAGGACGGGGGACGCUCCUCUGCUAUGGUGGAUGUUCCGCUUUGGCUGCAGAUGAUAUUGUUCCUGACACUUCUUUCGUGGCCACAGUCAGCCCAACCCCCAGAAUCCAUCAGCUCAGAAACACACACACAGUGUGCAGGCCAAGUCCGGCCCUGUUAACACUCAUUUGCAGCAGAGGCGGAUGUCAACAGAGGUUAUUAAUAUUCGGCUAAUCUAAUGAUGAUUUUCAUAUGAGCCACAUGAAAUCUCCUCCUCGCACCGUCUCGUCCUCCUGUUUCUCUCGGCGUCGUUUCCCUCGCCGCUCUCAUCUGUUCAUCUACGGCGUGUUUUCAGAUGCCAGGCUUCCCUCCUUCCCCAGCUACGCCUCCAUCACCUGCUCAUUAGAGAGUGGAUGAUGGUCCGACGGUCCCCCAUGACUCUGCUCCAAAAAUAACAGAGCCAAUUUCCCGCCUGUUAGGCGGCGAUUUCACACCAAUCUGAGUUGCACUGCCAACUCGGCCUGUCAGAGCGGAGAGAGCGGAGGAAUAAAGUGGAGAAGAAAAGCAAUGCAAUAAAAUGAAAAAUGUAGGUCAGGGUGUAAUGUGUCAGGAAAUACACAUUUUUUAUCCCACAGACACACUGACCCCAUCAGUCAGCAGAGGUGGAGGGAACAUUAUCUCAACAGCUACUAAAACCCGAGCUAUUUCAGACUUUUAUACUGGAAGUGGGACAACAAACACGGACUAACGCGGUCGAAAAUGUGAAUUAUUGAGCAGAGAUGAAAAAAAAACUCGUGUAGAAAUGGACGCAGGAUGAGCUUCACAGGUUUCUGGACUGACUGCUGCAAUGAAAAGAGCGGACAGCAUCCUCCUGUCUUCAGAGUUGAAGGUAAAUAUCUCCAUCAAUGUCACUGUGUCACCUGCUGCAGCGUCAGGUCAGCUAUAACCCCCAUCUCCCCCCUCCCCCGCCCGCUCUCCCUCUCUGCACCACUUUUAUGAGCUGUGCGCCCACAUGUGACCCUGACAGACAGAGGCCUGUGUCUCACUGCGCGUCUGUGUGACUUGGAGGGUUGAAUCAGUCGAGCUAAUUUCCCAGAAGUUUGUCGGCUUUAUUUUGUGCAAACAUUUGAAAAUAUAUCAGGAGUAUUUGUUCAGAAUUAUCACCUCGGGCCGCGUGUUUGACUUUCUGUAUUUCUGUAGCUGUUAGGCUCGUUAAAGAGAAGGAAAAUAAGAUGCAGGGGAACAGCGUAUCAUGAAAAAAAAGCCGUGCAAAUCUGUAUAAACAGAGGAAUAUUUAAAAGGCAAAUGACUGCACAGAGCAGUUUUGUCCUCUUUCGAUCAGUGUAGAUGUUCUUGUUCCCGCAUCAUGAGGGACGGAGCGAACGCCAACACCCCGGGCUGCCUAAUGGAGCAACUUGAUUAAAUGUGCAGCGUGAGUGUGAAUGUGAAUAAUUUGUCUCCCCGCAACUCUCCUCUUUCACUCGACAGAAAUUCCAAUUAGAGACUCUUCCCCUCCUCCUUCACGAGCCGCAGCGUCGUAUUUUAUUCAUCCGUUUGGCAAACGCUGAAAGUGAAAGUGAAUUAACUUUGAGGCAUGAUUCCUCCAACGCCUGACCUGGAAGUCUCCUGGAUUUUUUCUCCAUACAGUUAGAAAGUUGCACGAUUGAAGAGAAACAACGUAAAGGGAGGCCGUCAGAGCACUUGUUCGAGUUUUUGUGCACAAGAUACUUUGAGUUUUAAGACUGCUUAAAACCGUUAUUGUUAAUGCAAACCAUAGAUAGAAACCCAAACAGCAAAUCUGUACGAGACCAUAAUCUAACAACUUGUCUUCUCUGCAUCCUUUAGUCGUCCUUGAGUGUCCUUUACAUUUUUACAUUCUUGUACAUCUGCACUUCCUCAAUUUUCAAAAACUAAUCGUCCUUUUACUAAAUUUUUUCUCUUUCCAAAACUUUGAAAUUUUCAGGCCAUAUUUAUAUGUACCCGGUUAUUUUUAAAAACAGAGACAUUAACCAUCGUUUGCGCCCUUCAUUUAGACGCAAAUGGAGAAUUCCCCCCUGAAAACGAUGCUUUUUAAAAACACCAGCAUGGAGAGUGGAGACUUUGGAAAACUUGGUUCGCUCGUUUGCAUGUAAACAGAGAAAAACUGAGGUAAGUGGAGAUUUUGGGAGGCCGAUGUUAAAUGCGACGUUGUUUACAACCUAUGGUGAUCAUGGAUGCAUGCAGAAUAGCAGUCGCAUUUAUGCUGGUGCAAUCCCUUUGUAUUUGUUUGCAUUUACAUCUUUUCCAAAAGAAGGAGGUGACGUUGUUGUUGCUGCUAUGCGCGAUUCUUAUUGGCUAACGUGGGCUUGAGUUUCUCACUACACUGCAACCUACAGGUUUGGCAUGCUUUUGGCGACAAAUAUACACGGGUUAGUGUAAACAAAACCUUUUCUGAAAACGUAGUGCUGUGCACGCAGUUUUUUCUUUGUCAAUGUUAUGAAAAUAGCUGUGCAUGUGUAAAUGUAGUCCAAGUCUACCUCUCUCAUCAGCUGAAAAAACGAUGAAUAAUACUCAUCUUCACAAUGCAACAACUCAGGAAACUCAACCUGCUUCAGGAGCCGCCAUCACCCAGUCUGUCCUCUGCACAUCCAUCAGUGUUUGGUUUGGGUCCCCAACAGAUGGCAACAGACAAUCAAGACCAUGAACCAUCCCUCCAUCUAGGUCUUAUAUCGGUCCCAGGUCAGAGAACAAGCAGGUAAGAUCACUGCAGAACCCUCACACCCAGGACACAAACUGUUUAAUCUCCUCCCCUCAGGUAGGCAUUACAGAUCAGUGUAGACCAGAACCAGCUGACACUAAGAUGGUUUCCUCCCCCAGACUGUUGGUCUGGAGCCAAAUAUGUUGAUGUGAUAACAUAAAAUAAGUUGCAGUUCACUUUGUAUGCCUUAGGUGUCGCUGUCUUGUUAUCUGGGGCUCAGGAAUAAAGGUAGCUAUGUCACUGUUGUGGGCAGGCAAAGGUUUUUGACCACUGUGGCGCUAAAUGCCGAUGUCUUUGUUUGUUUGUUCAGUGUUGCUCGAUGUCAAUUGUAAAAUGGACUUUAGUAAAAAUGUUCGUCACAAGAAAGUUUUUAAGGAACACCAUCUGGACUUUCACUGAUCGUCAAAGACUCAUGGUCGUGUAAGAAACCAGUAGUGCGGCACGUCAACCAGGUUACUCUGGGUCAAGCAUCUCAGUAGCUUAAAGAAUCAACUCCCGAGUCCACUAACUUCUGUCCGAACUGUCCUCACUUUGUCGAACGCCCUCACUUUCAUGACACAAUUAAACUGGUCCUCACGAUGAUAGAAGUUUGUGAACACACACACACGCACGGGUUGUUUACUGGCUCCUCCAUGGUAGAGUUGAGUGCUAAUGUGUUGCUGUGGGGACUCAGAUGUGUGUAUCGCCUCAGCAGAAGGAAGUCAGCAGCUCUGCUUCCCUGAACACACACACACACACACACACUCUCUCUACGUCAUUUCUGAAUAUACCUCUGUGUGUAUAGAAGUCACACUUUGUAAGUGAAAACUUAUAAACCAAACUUUUUUAUUAGCAACUCUGAAAUUCUUUCUUACAGCUGCGUGAGAUGAUCCAAAAACACUUUUAAGAAGUCAACAAAUUGUUUAAUUCCAGCGCCGAUGAGCAAGGCAGACAACAUUUCAUCGUUUUGCCAUCCUUAGAGAACCCAUUAGCGAUCACAUGAUAACACUUGAUCUUUUCAUAAUCACUCUUAUCAAGGAAGUUUUCCUUCAGCUUCAACCUAAUCCUCGUGUCUCCAGCUGCUGCUCGGCGAGUCAAACCUCGGCCUGGAAACCCUCCGAGAUUUCCACAAUAAUCAGAAAUGUAAACGCCGAUCAGGUCAGUCCGCCACAUCGCUGAUAUGUAGCGUAAACUUAUAGCAUUAGCGCUGUAAGCCUCCUUAAGCCUAAAACAUGGCUGCUUAGUCCUCUGCUUGUUCUGAUGUUUUUCUGCCCCCUUGUGGCCGGAAAAAAAUCACUGACUGAAGCUUUAAAAUCUGAGCGUUAAAUGAAUGUCAGCGAUUUUAGCAGCUGGGCUGUUUCCAUUGUUUUGUUUUGUGCGACGGGGGUUAUUCUUAGCACCUCGCUCUGAGUGUGUGUGUGUGUGUGUGUGUGUGUGUGUGUCUGCUGCAGAACAGUGUUGUUUAACAAGCUUAGCAGGAUCAGGUGCUGAGUAAUCUGCCGGUAAUGAGGCUCACUGUGUGUGUGUGUGUGUGUGUGUGUGUGUGUGUGUGUGUGUGUGUGUGUGUGUGUGUGUGUGUGUGUAUCUUUCAAUUAUGACUGACCAAACCACACCGCUCUGCGUCUGCAGCCCCUCGCUCGGCGUGGACCACAUCCUUCAUGCGUCUCUGUUGUUGUGUCCCUCUUGUUGCACCUCCUUCCUCCCAGCAGCCGAGCAUGAGAGCACAUGAACACACACUUCUGUGAGGUAGUUGCAUGUGAACAUGCGUGCAUGAUGGCUCUCUGUGUUGGGCAGGGUUUAACUGAAUUAAGAUGACUGAGGCUGGUGCUUUUCCCAAUCGCCCCAGAUUGAGCUUUGGAGUGAAAAUCCUCCAGGGAAGCACUAAUCCCUGACUGUCGGGAGCAAUUUUUAUUCCGUAAGCAAAGCUUUCUCACUCUAUCUAGCUCGCUCCCUCUCUUGGUCUUUUGCUCUAUUUAUAGCCCUCUUAAGCUGCUCUGCGUGCCACUGUUUACAUUUAGAGCCCCCCGAUCUUUAGAUUUAGAUCCCCUCUCCUCGAUCUCUUGGUCCUCCCUCGGUCCCCUCGGACAGAUGAAUUAAAAAGCAGGAUGUCUCUAUCGACUGGCGCCCUCGCAUGAAGGAAGGGAGGAGAUGGACAGAUAGAGAGAUUAUGAGGAAGAGAGAAGAGGAGGGAAGACGAGGAGGAUGUAAAGUGACAAGCAGAUCCAAAUGUGUAUUCCAGGCGGUCAGGCAAGCUGUCUAUGUUUGGAGAAGACAGAUUGUGAAAGAGAUGAAGAAGAGGAGAAAAACCAGGAGGAGGAGGAGGAGGAUUUGUGCAGAUGAAGCUGAAUCUUCCAACAUCAAACCUUUAUUUGUGUCUGUGCAGUAAAGAUCGACUGACGAUCCUCUUAUCUCAAGAAAAAAUACUUUACUAUUUCAGCUGAAAGAAAAGGAGGGAGGGGAAUGAGUGAAAAAUGUUGAACGUCUCCUCAACUUAACAAAAAUGGGACUGAAGGUGUAACAGGUUUUCUGGACUCUCUCUUUGACAUCCUGCAGCCCCUAAAGCUCAGUAUGUGUGAUUUUUGUUGGAAUAAUGAAGUUCAUCACAUUUUAAAAUAGAAAGGAUGUC
rnacentral:lncRNA from 1 species